GCCGGGCGUGGUGGCACAUGCCUGUAAUCCCAGCAAUUUGGGAGGCUGAGUCAGGAGGAUUGAGAGUUCAAAGCCAGCCUCAGCAAAAGUGAGGUGCUAAGCAAUUCAGUGAGACCCUGUGUCUA
rnacentral:sRNA from 1 species